UAGGCUCUGCUUCCAGUCAAUUUUCGUCAGUUCCUCUCUCAUGCCCCUGUAAUUACCUUUAUUUAACUGUAACACUAUUACAUUCGAUUUUGCCUUCUUUCUUUCAAACUGCAGACUGAACGCCAUCAUAUUAUGAUCGCUGUCUCAUAAGUGUUCCCUUACUUCAAGAUCUUUUAUAAAAUCUGGCUCACUACAUAGAACUAAGUCCAAAGUAGCCUGUUCCCUUGUGGGCUCCAUCACAAGCUGUUCCAAAAGGUAUCCUGUAAGCAUUCCUUGAAUUCCCUUUGGAUCCACUGGCAACAUUAUUCACCCAGUCCACCUGCAUUCUGGGGGUUACCAUUCAUCCGAAGCUGAACUGGACUAGCCAAAUGACUACAGUGGCUACAAGAGCAGCUCAUAUAACUCCCACAGCUUAGCUAACAUCUACAAGACACAAGUCAGGCAUGUGAUGGAAUACUCCCAACUUCCUGGAUGAGUAGGCUGUAACAACACUGGACACCAUCCAGGACAAAGUAGUGCGCUUUAUUGGCACUCCAUCCACACCCUUCUCCGAUGCUUAAUAACAGUAGUGUGUACCAUCUACAAGGUACACUAUUGAAAUUUACACGGCUCCUUAGACAGCGCCUUCCUAACCAAUGCCACUUCCAUCUAGAAGGACGAGAGCAGCAGAAAUGUGGAAACCACCAGCUUCUGUUCACCUUCAAACUAGUUAUCCAUAUUUCUUCAGUUAUUGGCAUUGUGGGUCCACCUACAACAAAGAGACUGCUGUAGUUCAAGAAGGCAAUUUACCACCAUAUUCUCAAGGGCACCAAGGAAUGGCCAAUUAAUGCUGGCCCAGCCAGCAAUGCCUGGGUCUCACAGGUGCAUAGCUUUUGUCUGAACAAUGAAAAGACUGAAGCCUCCAGACUGCAAAAAAGACAAGGCUGUGUGCAUCUUCUCUCUUGCUCUAGCUCUCGCUGCCUCUCACACAGGGACUUGAACAAUGCAAAAGGGACACCCCAUCCAAUCACAUAGACUGAUGUUGUUGAACUGUCUUGCACCAAUAUUUUUUUCUCCAUCCAAAAUCUCCAUGCUUUUUUGUGACAUUGUCAGUGUGUAUGCAUUGGAGUUAGAUAAAGGAGAUACAUCUUAAGCUGGCAGAAUUAUAAAUAGAUAACUCAUUUUACUUUCCUCUGGUUAGAAUUGAUUUUUUCGGAAUAAAUAGAACUUUCUUGUUAAUUAAAGAAACCAGGUCAGUGUUUUCUGUUAACUUGAGUUCAUCAGAUACAUUGAGAAAUUUUGAGUAAUUUGAUUAAAUCUUUACCUCUUGUGAUGAUGCCUGGAGAAGUGGAGCUCGAGCAUCAGACCAUUUCUCAAAUAGAUUGUGACACUCCUGGUAGGGUUACGAGAUGUACAAUAUCAAUUGUUUCCUGUUUCUCUUUUUAGUAUGGUGUUAAUCAUGUAUCACAAUCGCAUGAAUAAAGUCAUUCAUUUCUUGA